AGAGUUUGAUCCUGGCUCAGAACGAACGCUGGCGGCGCGCUUAACACAUGCAAGUCGAACGAGAAGCCGUAGCAAUACGGUUGUAAAGUGGCAGACGGGUGAGUAAUGCAUGGGUAACCUACCCUCAGGUGGGGAAUAACUCCUCGAAAGGGGAGCUAAUGCCGACGAUACCCACCAGCCUCAUAAGAGGUUGUUGGAAAGCCGAACCGAGGGUUCGGCGCCUGAGGAUGGGCCCAUGUCCUAUCAGCUUGUUGGCGGGGUAAUGGCCCACCAAGGCUGCGACGGGUAGCUGGUCUGAGAGGACGACCAGCCACACUGGCACUGCGACACGGGCCAGACUCCUACGGGAGGCAGCAGUGAGGAAUCUUGCGCAAUGGGCGAAAGCCUGACGCAGCGACGCCGCGUGGGGGAUGAAGGCCUUCGGGUUGUAAACCCCUUUCAGGAGGGAAGAUGGGACGGGCAACCGUUCGGACGGUACCUUCAGAAGCAGCCACGGCUAACUCUGUGCCAGCAGCCGCGGUAAGACAGAGGUGGCAAGCGUUGUUCGGAUUUACUGGGCGUAAAGGGUGCGUAGGUGGUUAGGUAAGACCUGCGGGAAAGACCUGGGCUUAACCCAGGAAGGUCGUAGGUGACUGCCUGGCUAGAGGGCGGGAGAGGAGAGCGGAAUUCCCGGUGUAGCGGUGAAAUGCGUAGAGAUCGGGAGGAAGGCCGGUGGCGAAGGCGGCUCUCUGGAACGUUCCUGACACUGAGGCACGAAAGCGUGGGGAGCAAACAGGAUUAGAUACCCUGGUAGUCCACGCCCUAAACGAUGGGUACUAAGUGUCGGCGGGUUACCGCCGGUGCCGCACCUAACGGAGUAAGUACCCCGCCUGGGGAGUACGGCCGCAAGGUUGAAACUCAAAGGAAUUGACGGGGGCCCGCACAAGCGGUGGUGCAUGUGGUUUAAUUCGACGCAAC
rnacentral:rRNA from 1 species